GCAGAAUAGAUAGCUCAGUUGGUUAGAGUGCAGUGCUGAUGUGCCGAGGUUGCAGGUUCGAUCCCUGUAUGGUACAGCUGCA